UAGGGAAUCUUCGGCAAUGGGGGGAACCCUGACCGAGCAACGCCGCGUGAGUGAAGAAGGUUUUCGGAUCGUAAAGCUCUUUUGUUAAGGAAGAACGAGUGUGAGAAUGGAAAGUUCAUGCUGUGACGGUACUUAACCAGAAAGGGACGGCUAACUACGUGCCAGCAGCCGCGGUAAUACGUAGGUCCCGAGCGUUGUCCGGAUUUAUUGGGCGUAAAGCGAGCGCAGGCGGUUAGAAAAGUCUGAAGUGAAAGGCAGUGGCUCAACCAUUGUAUGCUUUGGAAACUGUUUAACUUGAGUGCAGAAGGGGAGAGUGGAAUUCCAUGUGUAGCGGUGAAAUGCGUAGAUAUAUGGAGGAACACCGGUGGCGAAAGCGGCUCUCUGGUCUGUAACUGACGCUGAGGCUCGAAAGCGUGGGGAGCGAACAGG
rnacentral:rRNA from 1 species